UACGUAGGGUGCAAGCGUUGUCCGGAAUUAUUGGGCGUAAAGGGCUUGUAGGCGGUUUGUCGCGUCUGCUGUGAAAUUUCGGGGCUCAACCCCGAACUUGCAGUGGGUACGGGCAGACUAGAGUGUGGUAGGGGAGACUGGAAUUCCUGGUGUAGCGGUGAAAUGCGCAGAUAUCAGGAGGAACACCGAUGGCGAAGGCAGGUCUCUGGGCCACUACUGACGCUGAGAAGCGAAAGCAUGGGGAGCGAACAGG
rnacentral:rRNA from 1 species